UCCGUAGGGUGCGAGUGUUGUCCGGAAUUAUUGGGCGUAAAGAGCUCGUAGGGGGUUUGUUGCGUCUAUCGUGAAAACCUGCAGCUUAACUGUGGGCUUGCGGUGGAUACGGGCAGACUUGAGUUCGGUAGGGGAGACUGGAAUUCCUGGUGUAGCGGUGAAAUGCGCAGAUAUCAGGAGGAACACCGGUGGCGAAGGCGGGGCUCUGGGCCGAUACUGACGCUGAGGAGCGAAAGCGUGGGGAGCGAACAGG
rnacentral:rRNA from 1 species